AUCGCCUUUAGAUUUUAUAAAAGGUCUAACCUGCCCACUGAGUAUUGAAUGGCCGCGGUAUUUUGACCGUGCAAAGGUAGCAUAAUCAUUAGUCUUCUAAUUAAAGGCUGGUAUGAAUGGUUGAACGAAGUGUUAGCUGUCUCAUUUAAAAUUAAUUUAAAAUUUAACUUUUUAGUUAAAAGGCUAAAAUGUUGUUGGAGGACGAGAAGACCCUAUAGAGCUUUAUAUUUGUGCAAUUUAAUUGGUUUAGAAGAAUUAUAAUUUAAGAUAAAAAAUAUUUUGUUGGGGUGACAGAAAAAUAAAAUAAACUUUCUUUUAAAAUGAACAUUAAUUUAUGAUUAAAUGAUCCAUUAUUAUUGAUUAAAAGACUAAGUUACCUUAGGGAUAACAGCGUAAUCUUUUUUGAGAGUUCAUAUCGACAAGAAGGAUUGCGACCUCGAUGUUGGAUUAAGAGUAAAUUUUAGGUGCAAAAGUUUAAAAUUUUGGUCUGUUCGACCAUUAAAUUCUUACAUGAUCUG
rnacentral:rRNA from 1 species